rnacentral:rRNA from 1 species
GCGGCAGCGCGGGGGCACCCUGGCGGCGAGCGGCGAACGGGUGAGUAAUACAUCGGAACGUGUCCCGUAGUGGGGGAUAGCCCGGCGAAAGCCGGAUUAAUACCGCAUAUGCUCUACGGAGGAAAGUGGGGGACUCGCAAGGGCCUCACGCUAUGGGAGCGGCCGAUGUCCGAUUAGCUUGUUGGCGGGGUAAUGGCCCACCAAGGCGACGAUCGGUAGCUGGUCUGAGAGGAUGAUCAGCCACACUGGGACUGAGACACGGCCCAGACUCCUACGGGAGGCAGCAGUGGGGAAUUUUGGACAAUGGGGGAAACCCUGAUCCAGCCAUGCCGCGUGCGGGAAGAAGGCCUUCGGGUUGUAAACCGCUUUUGGUCGGAAAGAAAAGGCGCCACCUAAUACGGGGCGUUCUUGACGGUACCGGCAGAAUAAGCACCGGCUAACUACGUGCCAGCAGCCGCGGUAAUACGUAGGGUGCGAGCGUUAAUCGGAAUUACUGGGCGUAAAGCGUGCGCAGGCGGUUCUCCCAGUCCGUUGUGAAGCCCCGGGCUCACCUGGGAAU